GGUAGUCCACGCUGUAAACGAUGUCGACUUGGAGGUUGUGCCCUUGAGGCGUGGCUUCCGGAGCUAACGCGUUAAGUCGACCGCCUGGGGAGUACGGCCGCAAGGUUAAAACUCAAAUGAAUUGACGGGGGCCCGCACAAGCGGUGGAGCAUGUGGUUUAAUUCGAUGCAACGCGAAGAACCUUACCUACUCUUGACAUCCAGAGAACUUUCCAGAGAUGGAUUGGUGCCUUCGGGAACUCUGAGACAGGUGCUGCAUGGCUGUCGUCAGCUCGUGUUGUGAAAUGUUGGGUUAAGUCCCGCAACGAGCGCAACCCUUAUCCUUUGUUGCCAGCGCGUGAUGGCGGGAACUCAAAGGAGACUGCCGGUGAUAAACCGGAGGAAGGUGGGGAUGACGUCAAGUCAUCAUGGCCCUUACGAGUAGGGCUACACACGUGCUACAAUGGCGUAUACAAAGGGAAGCGACCCCGCGAGGGCAAGCGGAACUCAUAAAGUACGUCGUAGUCCGGAUUGGAGUCUGCAACUCGACUCCAUGAAGUCGGAAUCGCUAGUAAUCGUAGAUCAGAAUGCUACGGUGAAUACGUUCCCGGGCCUUGUACACACCGCCCGUCACACCAUGGGAGUGGGUUGCAAAAGAAGUAGGUAGCUUAACCUCCGGGAGGGCGCUUACCACUUUGUGAUUCAUGACUGGGGUGAAGUCGUAACAAGGUAACCGUAGGGGAACCUGCGGUUGGAUCACCUCCUUA
rnacentral:rRNA from 1 species